rnacentral:rRNA from 1 species
GAUGAACGCUGGCGGCGUGCCUAAUACAUGCAAGUCGAGCGAAGAGUGGACGGGUGAGUAACACGUGGAUAACCUCCUAUAAGACUGGGAUAACUUCGGGAAACCGGAGCUAAACCGGAUACUUAUCCCUGGAUCCACGCUGUAUUAGCUGGUUGGUAGGGUAACGGCUUACCAAGGCAACGAUGCAUAGCCGACCUGAGAGGGGGAGCGGCCACACUGGAACUGAGACACGGUCCAGACGCCUACGGGAGGCAGCAGUAGGGAAUCUUCCGCAAUGGGCGAAAGCCGGACGGAGCAACGCCGCGUGAGUGAUGAAGGUCUUCGGAUCGUAAAACUCUGUUAUUAGGGAAGCGGUACCUAAUCAGAAAGCCACGGCUAACUACGUGCCAGCAGCCGCGGUAAUAC